GUGUCCUCGAUUAGGCAACACAUACACUAAAAAAACUGGAACGAUACAGUGAUUAAUUAGCAUGGCCCUGCACAAGAAAGACACAAAUUCCUGAAGCAUUCCAUAUAAUU
rnacentral:snRNA from 1 species